rnacentral:rRNA from 1 species
AUUGAACGCUGGCGGCAUGCCUUACACAUGCAAGUCGAACGGCAGCAUGAUCUAGCUUGCUAGAUUGAUGGCGAGUGGCGAACGGGUGAGUAAUACAUCGGAACGUGCCCUGUAGUGGGGGAUAACUAGUCGAAAGAUUAGCUAAUACCGCAUACGACCUGAGGGUGAAAGUGGGGGACCGCAAGGCCUCAUGCUAGAGGAGCGGCCGAUGUCUGAUUAGCUAGUUGGUGAGGUAAAGGCUCACCAAGGCGACGAUCAGUAGCUGGUCUGAGAGGACGAUCAGCCACACUGGGACUGAGACACGGCCCAGACUCCUACGGGAGGCAGCAGUGGGGAAUUUUGGACAAUGGGGGCAACCCUGAUCCAGCAAUACCGCGUGUGUGAAGAAGGCCUUCGGGUUGUAAAGCACUUUUGUCCGGAAAGAAAUCGCACUUACUAAUAUUAGGUGUGGAUGACGGUACCGGAAGAAUAAGGACCGGCUAACUACGUGCCAGCCGCCGCCGUAAGAC